UACGUAGGGGGCAAGGCGUUGUCCGGAAUCAUUGGGCGUAAAGCGCGCGUAGGCGGCCCGGUAAGUCCGUUGUGAAAGUCAAAGGCUCAACCUUUGAACGCCGAUGGAUACUGCCGGGCUAGAGUCCGGAAGAGGCGAGUGGAAUUCCUGGUGUAGCGGUGGAAUGCGCAGAUAUCAGGAGGAACACCAACGGCGAAGGCAGCUCGCUGGGACGGUACUGACACUAAGGCGCGAAAGCGUGGGGAGCGAACAGG
rnacentral:rRNA from 1 species